ACGUAUGGUGCAAGCGUUAUCCGGAUUUACUGGGUGUAAAGGGAGCGCAGGCGGUGCGGCAAGUCUGAUGUGAAAGCCCGGGGCUCAACCCCGGUACUGCAUUGGAAACUGUCGUACUAGAGUGUCGGAGGGGUAAGCGGAAUUCCUAGUGUAGCGGUGAAAUGCGUAGAUAUUAGGAGGAACACCAGUGGCGAAGGCGGCUUACUGGACGAUAACUGACGCUGAGGCUCGAAAGCGUGGGGAGCAAACAG
rnacentral:rRNA from 2 species